rnacentral:rRNA from 1 species
AGCGAACGCUGGCGGCAGGCCUAACACAUGCAAGUCGAACGAAGUCUUCGGACUUAGUGGCGGACGGGUGAGUAACACGUGAACGAACCUUUUGGUUCGGAACAACUCAGGGAAACUUGAGCUAAUACCGGAUGAGCCCUUAGGGGGAAAGAUUUAUCGCCGAAAGAGCGGCCCGCGUUAGAUUAGCUAGUUGGUGAGGUAAAGGCUCACCAAGGCUACGAUCUAUAGCUGGUCUGAGAGGAUGAUCAGCCACACUGGGACUGAGACACGGCCCAGACUCCUACGGGAGGCAGCAGUGGGGAAUCUUGCGCAAUGGGCGAAAGCCUGACGCAGCCAUGCCGCGUGGAUGAUGAAGGUCUUAGGAUUGUAAAACUCUUUUACCAGGGACGAUAAUGACGGUACCUGGAGAAAAAGCCCCGGCUAACUUCGUGCCAGCAGCCGCCGUAAUAC